rnacentral:rRNA from 1 species
AGCCUUGUACACACCGCCCGUCAAGCCACGAAAAUCCGGGGCAUCCGAAGUCGCCGCGCCAACCGCAAGGGGGCAAGCGCCGACGAUGAACCGGGUAAUUGGGACU